GACGAACGCUGGCGGCGUGCCUAAUACAUGCAAGUAGGACGCAGUUGCGAACGGGUGAGUAACGCGUAGGUUACUGCCUAUUAGAGGGGGAUAACUAUUGGACACGAUAGCUAAUACCGCAUACUAGUAGAUGGACCUGCGUUGUAUUAGCUAGUAGGUAGGGUAAUGGCCUACCUAGGAGACGAUACAUCGCCGACCUGAGAGGGGGAUCGGCAACACGUGGACUGAGACACGGCCCAGACUCCUACGGGAGGCAGCAGUAGGGAAUCUUCGGCAAUGGGGGGAACCCUGACCGAGCAACGCCGCGUGAGUGAAGAAGGUUUUCGGAUCGUAAAGCUCUGUUGUUAAGGAAGCGGUACUUAACCAGAAAGGGACGGCUAACUACGUGCCAGCAGCCGCGGUAAUUC
rnacentral:rRNA from 1 species